rnacentral:rRNA from 1 species
UGAGGAAUAUUGGGCAAUGCCCGCAAGGGUGACCCAGCAACGCCGCGUGGAGGAUGAAUGUCGUAAGAUUGUAAACUCCUGUUAGAGGGGAAGAAUAGUACCGGUUGGACCGGUAUAUGACUGUACCCUCAGAGAAAGCCCCGGCUAACUACGUGCCAGCAGCCGCGGUAAUACGUAGGGGGCAAGCGUUGUCCGGAUUUACUGGGUGUAAAGGGCGCGCAGGCGGGAUAAAAAGUCAGUGGUGAAAUCCUACAGCUUAACUGUAGAACUGCCUUUGAUACUUUUAUUCUUGAGUUCGGGAGAGAGAGACGGAAUUCCAGGUGUAGUGGUGCAAUACGUAGAUAUCUGGAAGAACACCAGUUGCGAAGGCGGUCUCUUGGUCCGACACUGACGCUGAGGCGCGAAAGCGUGGGGAGCAAACA